CUGAGACCCAGAGGGGAGGUGGGCAGGGAGGCCUAGAGCAAUAAAAGCACCCAGAACCAACCUUUUCUUUUUCCUUUGCAACUGCUAAACAUCACGUGGGAAACAAUCUGUUAUCUUUUCUCUCCAUGUAGAACAGCCGCGAAUGCUCAGUGCGUAUUUGCCUUGUCCCAUACACGUGUUGACGUUUUUCAUCCUUCUGUUAUUACAGAUGCUGCAAAGGCAAUAACCCUGAAAUGUCACAGCUGCAGAUUUGUAUCGCAUAGAUAAGAUGGGGUAGUUAAAUAGUCACUCAACAUCGGUAAAAGACAACAAAACCUGCAAGAAGGCACAGUGUAUGGUACCUGCGGGGUUCACAUCACCGCUCAACCUGGGAAACUUUGAAUGGCCCGAGAGAGGUGAUGGCCCGAGCAGCCACUUCCCACUCGGCUCUUGCUAGGCACUGUGGGACCACGUCAUGCUCCAAGGAGUUUUCCAGAUCACCAAUGCUGAGAAUAAUCUACAUCAGCACUGCAGAUCGAGGCAUUCAGCACCAUCUGUGAUGAGGGUACUAUAGGCAAACCCCAAGCAAGCAACACAGGGAAACCCUAUGGGCUGCAUUAUCAUUCCAUUUCCCAUGCCCAUUCCUACGAUACAUCCACCCAGAUCAUCCCAGCCAGCUCUGGUCUAAUACAGGUGCUGGGGGCAGGGAUGCAUCUUCCCAGGAAUUCAGCUACCUCUUUCUUCCAUGAGGCUCGGCUGUUUUGGAGACAAAAAUCCUCUCCAGUUUGUAAGGACAUUGCCCCACGUUCCCCAGCAUCAGACCUCCAAGGCCUGGCUGGGCUGCCCACCAUCCACCCCCCGACAUUUUGGGAGGAUCCCAGGGCCAGGGACAUCGCCAGGGCUGGAGGGGUAAAUCAGGGGAGUCAAACUAGAGGGGUUUUCUCAAACCAGGAGCACAGUGGUGUGUUGGGUUUGGAUGGGAUAGAAUUAAUUGU